rnacentral:sRNA from 1 species
UUGCACAAGGGAUAGUAGUGGAAAUCCUUUGUUGUCUCGUUAACAAACGAGACAAUAAAGAUUGAAACGGAUAGCCCGACCACGA